rnacentral:rRNA from 1 species
UACGGAGGAUGCGAGCGUUAUCCGGAUUCACUGGGUUUAAAGGGUGAGUAGGCGGGUAGGUAAGUCAGUGGUGAAAGUCUGUCGCUUAACGAUAGGAUUGCCAUUGAUACUGCUUAUCUUGAGUUCAGUUGAGGCAGGCGGAAUGUGCAGUGUAGCGGUGAAAUGCUUAGAUAUUGCACAGAACACCGAUUGCGAAGGCAGCUUGCUAAACUGAUACUGACGCUGAGUCACGAAAGCGUGGGGAUCAAACAGG